UAUUGGACAAUGGGGGGAACCCUGAUCCAGCGACGCCGCGUGAGUGAAGAAGUAUCCCGGUAUGUAAAGCUCUAUCAGCAGGGAAGAANNAAUGACGGUAUCUGAGUAAGAAGCCCCGGCUAACUACGUGCCAGCAGCCGCGUUAAUACGUAGGGGGCAAGCGUUAUCCGGAAUUACUGGGUGUAAAGGGAGCGUAGACGGUGAUGUAAGUCUGGAGUGAAAGGCGGGGGCCCAACCCCCGGACUGCUCUGGAAACUAUGUGACUGGAGUGCAGGAGAGGUGAGCGGAAUUCCUAGUGUAGCGGUGAAAUGCGUAGAUAUUAGGAGGAACACCAGUGGCGAAGGCGGCUCACUGGACUGUAAUUGACGUUGAGGCUCGAAAGCGUGAGGAGCAAACAGG
rnacentral:rRNA from 1 species